GAUGAACGCUAGCGGCAGGCUUAAUACAUGCAAGUCGAGGGGUAGCAAGAUUGUAGCAAUACAAUUGUUGACGACCGGCAAACGGGUGCGGAACACGUACACAACCUUCCUACAAGUGGGGAAUAGCCCAGAGAAAUUUGGAUUAAUACCCCGUAACAUAGCGAUGUGGCAUCACAUUGCUAUUAUAGCUUCGGCGCUUGUUGAUGGGUGUGCGGCUAAUUAGAUAGUUGGCGGGGUAACGGCCCACCAAGUCUACGAUCAGUAGCUGAUGUGAGAGAAUGAUCAGCCACACGGGCACUGGGACACGGGCCCGACUCCUACGGGAGGCAGCAGUAAGGAAUAUUGGACAAUGGACGCAAGUCUGAUCCAGCCAUGCCGCGUGAAGGAUUAAGGUCCUCUGGAUUGUAAACUUCUUUUAUAAGGGACGAAAAAAGGUCUUUCUAGAUCGUCUGACGGUACCUUAUGAAUAAGCACCGGCUAACUCCGUGCCAGCCGCCGCAGUAACAC
rnacentral:rRNA from 1 species